rnacentral:tRNA from 3 species
GCCCCGAUAGCUCAGAGGAUGAGAGCGACCGCCUCCUAAGCGGUAGGUCGAAGGUUCGAAUCCUUCUCGGGGCGCCA